GACGAACCGUGCAAACGUUGUUCGGAAUCACUGGGCUUAAAGGGCGCGUAGGCGGGCUCGCCAGUCUGUGGUGAAAGCCCCCGGCUUAACCGGGGAAGUGCCAUGGAUACUGCGAGCCUCGAGGAGGGUAGGGGCAUCUGGAACAGCCGGUGGAGCGGUGAAAUGCGUUGAUAUCGGCUGGAACUCCGGUGGCGAAGGCGAGGUGCUGGCCCCUUUCUGACGCUGAGGCGCGAAAGCCAGGGGAGCAAACGGGG
rnacentral:rRNA from 1 species